UAACUGGGGCCAGUUUCGGGGUGUGGGAGUGGUAUUAUUUUUUUAAAGUAAUAUUGCUCACUACACCUCCAAAUUGGUCUUGGUAC
rfam:Tribolium castaneum strain Georgia GA2 linkage group LGX, whole genome shotgun sequence.